ACGGAAGGUCCGGGCGUUAUCCGGAUUUAUUGGGUUUAAAGGGAGCGUAGGCGGAGCGUCAAGCCAGCAGUGAAAUGUAGCAGCCCAACCGCUGCACUGCUGUUGGAACUGGCGCCCUUGAGUGCACACGAGGCAUGCGGAAUUUGUGGUGUAGCGGUGGAAUGCUAAGAUAUCAGGAGGAACACCGAUUGCGAAGGCAGCGUGCCGGGGUGCCACUGACGCUGAAGCGCGAAGGUGUGGGUAUCGAACAG
rnacentral:rRNA from 1 species